UAAUUAUUAUUAAGCAAAAACCUAUAUAAAA
rnacentral:piRNA from 1 species